rnacentral:snRNA from 11 species
UUAAUUAGGCAUAAAUUAUUUUAUUUAAGACAUACCUAGGUAGAUCCCUUUCCACGAAUCAAAAGUGGGUUGACCCCUGCGAGUAUUCCAAAUGUGAAUACCUCGGGCGCGUAAUUUUUGGUAGCGGGGAUUGCGUACGCGCACAUCCCUA